rnacentral:rRNA from 1 species
UUUAUUGUAAAUUUUGGUUUGAGUAGUAAUAGAGUUCUUGAAACUAAAAGAAUUUGGCGGUAUUUAAGUCUGUUUAGAGGAAUCUGUAUAUAAAUCGAUAGUCCACGAAUAAUCUUACUUAGGGAGAAUAAUAUGUAUAUCGUUGUCAUCAGAAUAGUUUUUAGAAUAUUUUCUUAAUGUUAGAGAUUUAUAUGUCAAAUCAAGGUGCAGUUUAUAUCUAAGUUUAUAUGGAUUACAAUAUAUAAGUAUAAAUGGAUUAUUUUCUGUAAAUGAGGUAUGAAGGUGGAUUUAAUUGUAAUUUUUUAUUAGAAUGGAGAAUUGAAUGGGUACUAAAAUAUGC